GGUGAAUCUCAAGAGACCAUGUUGAAGGAGCCUUCAUUGGAUCAACACUUGAGGUAGGAGGUGAAAACCUUGUGCAACUUUAAGGUCCCGGUACUUAAAGAGCUCCUAUCAAUGCAGACAUUAUUUAAUAUCGGCAUCAGUCAGGUUGGUCCCCAAGGUGCGCAUGGAUCGCCUGCCUUAGGGCCUUGCGUUCUCUGAUUUUUACUUUACCUUUAUGCUAACCACUUGAUUGCUUUGGUUGU
rnacentral:lncRNA from 1 species